rnacentral:lncRNA from 1 species
AAAAAAAAUUUACUAAAAUGCAUGGAGCAUGAACUGUAAAACGGAAUGCUGUGUGACAUAGGACUGUUUCUUGAUAAUCUGUCUUUUAGAAGCAGGAAUGUUCCCUAAGCUAACGCCCCAGACCUAGGAGUCUACAGUGCAGAAAUAGCAGCAGAUAACACGGUGCUUGCAGUAAGUGUCUUUGGCAGUACUCAACACAGUGUCACAAGGGCACACUGAGCCCCAGCGCUCCAGUCGCUGAGUUCUGAGCUUCAGACUCAAGGAAACACUGCCAUUGUUUCUAUGGAGAUCAGCGGCGCUGUGGCUGAUGGGAUCAGAAUUCUGUGUCCACCACCAAGGAAACCUUUAAAAGUAGGACCAGCAAGAUGACUCGGUAGGUGAAGGUGCUUGCAGUCAAGUCUGCGUUUGAUAUC